AUUGAACGCUGGCGGCAGGCCUAACACAUGCAAGUCGAGCGAGCGGCGGACGGGUGAGUAAUGUCUGGGAAACUGCCUGUUGGGGGGGGAUAACUCCUGGAAACGGUAGCUAAUACCGCAUACGCUCAGAUGUGCCCACAUGGGGUUAGCGCGAGGGGGGGGUAAUGGCUCACCUAGGCGACGAUCCCUAGCUGGUCUGAGAGGAUGACCAGCCACACUGGAACUGAGACACGGGCCAGACUCCUACGGGAGGCAGCAGUGGGGAAUAGUGCACAAUGGGCGCAAGCCUGAUGCAGCCAUGCCGCGUGUAGGAAGAAGGCCUUCGGGUUGUAAAGUACUUUCAGCGGGGAGGCGUUACCCGCAGAAGAAGCACCGGCUAACUCCGUGCCAGCAGCCGCGGUAAUAC
rnacentral:rRNA from 1 species